rnacentral:misc_RNA from 1 species
AACACCUGCUACAUCCGGGCAAUAUCGGCAGUAAGGUCACACAGACGGUGCCGAAAUGUUUCGAACCGUUUGCAACAGCUUUGGGAAGAAGCGAGGUGUGGCCCAGUUGUAUGGAAUUACCAGGUUGAGUGUUGGACAGGCAAGAUGUAACACUACAUCUGUACAGGCAACAGGCAGCAAGGGUGAAGCGCCACUCUGGAACGAGGAGGACGGGUGGGUGGUGCUGGACCCACCCUCGGACACCGCGGUGGUGGAGAGAUUGGCCAAGCAGGAGGACUGGAGCAAUGUCCACUACCUGACACGCCCCGACCUCUCCCAGCAGGAGAAACAGUGGUUCAAGGAGGCCUACAAAAGCCCCUACAAACUUUACCCCCCAGAGAAGUUCCUGUUGAAGAGGGGAGGUAAUGUUGUGGUGGAAUAUGUCCGUGUUCCUGUUGGGACAACAAGGCGACAGAUGAUAGAAAAAAGCUUUGAGGCUCCGGAGGACGAAAAAGACAUCGCUCCCUUUGAUCUAAAGAAGCAGUGGGCUUGGGCCAAUAAAGUUCUGUUUGGACCCCAGAGAGAUUGUCCACAAAUUUGUUCCCAGAUCCUUAUUUGAUGCCAUGGUACCAUAUAGUGGAGUCACAGGGUUCUAUGUGCUGUCCGUGGGCGGUGUGUUUGCUCUGGUUGGUAAGGGCGUGAUCGUCUCCACCUAUGCCCUCUCCUACUUCUUUUACUUUGGUAUUGCAUGGGCAUUUACCAAACUUCCUCCAGUCAGACGUUUCCUAGACAACAGAGUUCCUCAACUUACCAACAGAUUAAAUGAGAUGUAUUACGUGGGCCCUAUUCAACAAAAGAAGGAUCACAUCAGUGCGUGUAUAGCAGCCGCCCAACAGACCAAGGACAUGAUUCAGCAGCUGCCCAAGCUCUACGACGUUCAAAUUGAAAACGUUGAUCUUCAGCUGGAGAACAACUACAGAGAUCGACUAAAGCAAGCAUUUACUGAAGUCAAAUCUCGCCUGGAUUGCCAGGUAGCUUUAGCAGCAACAAAAGCAGAGUUAGAAAAGGAUUACAUGAUCGACUGGAUCACAAAUCAAGUCGUACAGAACAUUACACCUGAUCUGGAGAAGAAGAACAUUCAGUCUUGUUUAGCCCAGCUGCAGACUCUGUCAAAAUCAGCAAAGAUCUAGAGAACAUUGUGAUAUAGCUGGAUUUGUGUGGAACUCUUAUUUAAGAAACAUUGAGGACAGACAUGUAUGUCAAUGCUUUCCUGUUAAAACAAAUGUGUACUGAUAUAAAUAAAGCCAGCUUUCCAAAUGCUGGAUAAAAA